UUAGUUGAAGCCAAAGAAGAGGCAUUUUAAUGUUAAUAAGAUAAUUGAAUUUUAUUCUAACUAAA
rnacentral:tRNA from 1 species